rnacentral:rRNA from 1 species
UACGGAGGGUGCGAGCGUUGUCCGGAAUCACUGGGCGUAAAGGGCGCGUAGGCGGCGCGGGAAGUCCGUGGUGAAAGCCCGAGGCUCAACUUCGGGUCGGCCAUGGAUACUCCUGGGCUUGAGCACUGUAGAGGCAGGUGGAAUUCCGGGUGUAGCGGUGGAAUGCGUAGAGAUCCGGAAGAACACCGGUGGCGAAGGCGGCCUGCUGGGCAGUAGCUGACGCUGAGGCGCGACAGCGUGGGGGAGCAAACAGG